GGUGGCUCAGUGGUAGAACGCUUGCCUUGCAUGCAUGAGGCCCUGGGUUCGAUUCCCCGGCACCA
rfam:Dipodomys ordii contig_21523, whole genome shotgun sequence.